CAGGAACUUGGAGGUAGCUCACACUGGUUGGAAUCACUGAUCCUUCACCUGGGCCUGUAAGCACUUUUACUGAGCACCCACCAAGUCAAAAGGAGCAUUUCAAGUGCUCUGGAACCUUCUGCUUUCAUUUACUAAUAAUCCUCAAACAGAAUGUCUGCUUCCGACAUUGGCUUCUGAAAUAGAACAGAAUCUUAAUUAGCUCAUGAGAAACUCCUACUUAAGUAGUCUUAGAGCAAAUGGACUCAUUUCCUUCUCUAAUAGAUCCUCCUGUUGUUUGACUGUGAUGAGAAUGGUCUUUUAAAAGAGGCCUCAGGUGUGAAACCAACUGUUCAGGCUCAUUGUCAGCUGCCGGCUCCUAGAGUAUUAAUUCAAAAUUAGCGAAAAUAUAAGACUAUGUCUACAUUGGCCAACUCUACUGCAAAAUUGAGCAAUUUUCAGUUAAGGGUGCAGCAUCCUCUACAAUGCCCUUGAGGAAGAUUCAGAAGCUCAUUCUACUUCCAUCUGCUUCCAUCAUUAGAGAAAGAAGUUGAUUAAUUCAACCUCUCUAACAAUAAGAACGGAUGCUGUUAAACUAAAAGGGUGGUGGUGAUCCAACUUCAUUCACGGUAGAUGAGAAACUCCUGGGGGGAUGGCAGAAAAACAGAAAGAAGAUUGAAGGUCAAAAUGAAUCUUUGUUAAUUAGCAGACUUGCUAAAUUACAAGCACCACUGUUGAUGUGACUACCUGUUGUGAAUAAAUCUUCUUUUUACAUAAUUUACAUAAUUUGGCUGCUAUCUGAUUUUGGUGGCUACUGCAAGUUGUGAGGUGGGCCUUCAAGAAUCUAGAUGUGAAUAAAUAGGAGUUACACAGAAAGAUCAAUAUGUAUUCAGAGAAGAGCUGUGGAAAGUCAUUGGAAGGGAGCAUAAUAGCUCUCGGGCCAGCAAAUUUCACAAUCAUCUGAUUGAAUAUUUGACAUCCAGUGAGAGACUACUUCCUUCACAAGACAGGUCAGGCAGAAAAUCAGACUGUGCGUCAAUAAAAUUUUCCAAGUUUCUGUGAGCCAAUUAUUCCAGCUGGAGAUUGAUUGCCUGCAUGGAACAGAAGCCAAAAUUCGUGGCAACAAGUAACUCAAGCAUGGUGACAAGACAUCUAGAGAAGAACAGAGACUGCUGAGCUUUGGCUGCUGUUGUCUUUGGAGGAGCUCCUGUCUUCGCCUUCACCAGGGCAUCAUCUCCUGGCUCUCCCUGCAGACUCUCUACCCUUCAGCACCAGCCCCUGGGCUUUCUGGUGCAGACCUUCAUCUUCCAUUGUGGACUCCCAGGGGACUGUGGUGGGCUCCAGGCCUUUGGCUGGACUCAUACAGGACAUUGCUGUGGGAUUCAGGUCCCCGGGUAGAUUCUUCGGGUUUGCAGUGUGUGGACAGAUCUCUCACACUCUUCUGCAUUUGACUUUUGGGUGAAUAUUAUAAAAUAAUCCUAUAACUUACAUGUCCUGUAUUAAAUCUAUUCCCU
rnacentral:lncRNA from 1 species